AGCUAUAGAGUGAGUGUCUCGUCAGAUAGAGAUGGAGUGGGGCCGGGGAGUGAGGUGGGGGCUGGAAGGAAGAGUGGAUGGAUUUCCUCUGAAAAAGGAGUUCCUUCUAAACAGUCGGUGGUCAGAGUAAACACUCCAUUGAAGAUUAUGUUCAAGAAACUGCUCCCAACUAGUAAGAAGUGUAUUAAUCCUCUCAUGAAAAAUCCGCACAAUCACCGCAGAGAGUCAUUGCAGAAUCUUUACUCCUUCGACUGUUCUCCAGUCUCCAGCUCGCUUUUUGCCAGCACCAACGUUGGG